GGUGGGAUGACGUCAAGUCAGCAUGGCCUUUAUAUCCUGGGCUACACACACGCUACAAUGGCCAACACAAUAGGUUGCUAAGCCGCGAGGUGGAGCCAAUCCUACAAAGUUGGUCUCAGUUCAGAUUGCAGGCUGCAACCCGCCUGCAUGAAGAUGGAGUUGCUAGUAACCGCAGGUCAGCUAUACUGCGGUGAAUACGUUCCCGGGCUU
rnacentral:rRNA from 1 species